GAUGAACGUUGGCGGCGUGCCUAACACAUGCAAGUCGAACGGGAAGCUAGACUUCGGUUUAGUGGAGAGUGGCGCACGGGUGAGUAACACGUAACUGAUCUGCCCUAGAGAGCGGGAUAACCUUUGGAAACAGAGGCUAAUACCGCAUAAGCUCACACUGUUUAGAAAGGUGUGAGAAAAACUGAGGUGCUUUAGGAUGAGGUUGCGUCCCAUCAGCUAGUUGGUGUGGUAAAGGCGCACCAAGGCGACGACGGGUAGGGGACCUGAGAGGGUGACCCCCCACACUGGAACUGAGACACGGUCCAG
rnacentral:rRNA from 1 species